GACGAACGCUGGCGGCGUGCUUAACACAUGCAAGUCGAACGGAAAGGCCCUGCUUUGGGGGGGUGCUCGAGGGGCGAACGGGUGAGUAACACGUGAGUAACCUGCCCUUGACUUUGGGAUAACUUAAGGAAACUGGGGCUAAUACCGGAUAGGACUUCCUGCUGCAUGGGGGGGGUUGGAAAGUUUCGGCGGUUGGGGAUGGACUCGCGGCUUAUCAGCUUGUUGGUGGGGUAGUGGCUUACCAAGGCUUUGACGGGUAGCCGGCCUGAGAGGGUGACCGGCCACAUUGGGACUGGGAUACGGCCCAGACUCCUACGGGGGGCAGCAGUGGGGAAUAUUGCACAAUGGGCGGAAGCCUGAUGCAGCAACGCCGCGUGCGGGAUGACGGCCUUCGGUUUGUAAACCGCUUUCGCCUGUGACGAAGCGUGAGUGACGGUAAUGGGUAAAGAAGCACCGGCUAACUACGUG
rnacentral:rRNA from 1 species